rnacentral:rRNA from 1 species
GACGAAUGCUGGCGGCGUGCUUAACACAUGCAAGUCGAGCGGUAAGGCCCUUUCGGGGGUACACGAGCGGCGAACGGGUGAGUAACACGUGGGUGACCUGCCCUCAGCUCUGGGAUAAGCCUGGGAAACCGGGUCUAAUACCGGAUAUGACUCCAUGACGCAUGUUGUGGGGUGGAAAGCCUUGUGCGGCUGAGGAUGGGCCCGCGGCCUAUCAGCUUGUUGGGGGGUGAUGGCCUACCAAGGCGACGACGGGUAGCCGGCCUGAGAGGGCGACCGGCCACACUGGGACUGAGACACGGCCCAGACUCCUACGGGAGGCAGCAGUGGGGAAUCUUGCGCAAUGGGCGAAAGCCUGACGCAGCGACGCCGCGUGA